rnacentral:misc_RNA from 1 species
GAUGAAGAACGUAGCGAAAUGCGAUAAGUAGUGUGAAUUGCAGAAUUCAGUGAAUCAUCGAAUCUUUGAACGCACAUUGCGCCCCUUGGUAUUCCAUGGGGCAUGCCUGUUCGAGCGUCAUUUACACCCUCAAGCUCUGCUUGGUGUUGGGCGUCUGUCCCGCUGCUUUGCGCGGACUCGCCUCAAAGGUAUUGGUAGCGAUCAUGCCAGCUUCUCGCGCAGCACAUUGCGCUUCUUGAAGUUCUGGUGGAUCAGCGUCCAUUAAGCUUACCUUCAUGACUUGACCUCGGAUCAGGUAGGGAUACCCGCUGAACUUAAGCAUAUCAAUAAGCGGAGGA